AUCCACCGGCCGGGAGCCCCAGCUGCUCUGCCUUGGCCACCGCCGACCUGCGGGACGUGGCCCUGCGGUGCCGCUGGCCGGGGGGCUUCCCCCCAGCCCGGCUGCGCUGGGUGGGCCUCGGGGAGGAGGAAGAGGAGGAGGAGGAAGAGGGGGCGGCAGGGCCAAGCUUUUCCAUGGCCACCAACAUCCGUCCAGGGGUGACCACAAGGAACGGCAGCUCCUUCGCCUGCCUGGCCACCCACCCCACGCUGCGGGAGGGGGCCAUGUGCAGGACCACUUUGUGUGAGUGCAGACUGGUCCCCAGCGCCCCGACACCCCCCCUAAAACAUGUCCCUUGCCCUCCCCCCCCACUUCAACCCAAGCGCCGCAGCCGUGCCACAGGGCACACGUGCCCCACAGCUGGGCAAUCCCCGAAGCAGUGCCAUGGUGGCUGCCCCUCGCUCGCUCCCGAAAGGGAUGAAGCUGGGUGGGGGGCUCGCCCAGUGCCGCCCCCUCCCCCCAAUGCCUCUCUGUCUCCCAGGGGUCCCGGCUGGCAGCCCUGCCUGCACGGCUGUGGCCACCAAGCACGACGAGUUCGUGAUGCUGCAGUGCCGCUGGGAGGGGGGCACGCCGCCGGCCACCCUGCGCUGGUGGGACAGCCGGCGUCAGGCGCUGGGUGUCCCCAUGCCCUCGGCCGCUGUCCUUGUGCUGAGCGCCGAUGCCAGCCUGGGGGGCCAGGACUUCAUCUGUGUGGCCACCCACCCGCUGCGGGCGGCUGCUGCUGAGUGUCACCUCCGGCUUGACGUCCCCAAGCUGGAGGUGGAGCAGAGCGAGGUGGCGGUGCUGGAGGGUGGUGAGGCGCGGCUGGCGUGCCGGUGGUGCGGUGUCACCCACCUGGGUGCCGAAAUGGUCUGGUACGAUCCCCGGGAGCAGGAGGUGCCACUGGGCAUGGCUAAGUACCGGCUGGAGCAGGACGAAGCGUGGGCCAACCUCACUGUCCGGGAUGCCGAGUGGCCGGGGGAUGGUGGGACCUACCGCUGCACCGCAGCCAACGCCAUGGGCACCACCAGCCUCCCCGUCCACCUCCGUGUAGACCGGUACCCGGCCCCCCCCAACGUCACCAUCAGCAAGCUGCGGUACACGCGGGCGCGAACCGAGGUGCGGCUGGAGUGGCGGACGCAGGGCACGGGCAACCUCACCGGCUUUGUGGUGCAGCGGCGGCAGGCAAAGAAGCCCCAGCGCCGGGCGCCCGGCCCCUGGGAAACAGCCGCAGGUGACAUCGAGCCCCACUCCCGCGACCGGCGCCUGGGGGGGCUGGACCCCACUGUGGUCUAUGCCUUCCGCGUCCUGGCUGUCAACCACCGCACGGCCGGGCACCCCUCCGAGGUGCAGACGCCAGCCGAGCCUCCCUUCGAGGCACUCCCCGCAGUGACAGGGGCGGCGGUGGCGGGGAUGCUGGUGGCCACUGCGGUGUCUCUGCUGGCCGUGCGCUGCGUCGCCCGCCACCGGGACAACCUGCCACGUGAGUGCCGGGGGGAGGCUCGGCAGGGCAGCCGGGGCAGUGGAAGGACCCCCGACACCCUCACCUCGUCUGUUCCCAGGGCUGCACGACCUACUCUUCCACACGUGAGUGCCCCAACCCCCACGCGCUGGUGCCCAGCCCUCUCCGUGCGCACCUGGCCACAGGUGAGAGCCCCGUGCUCCCCAGGGCCAGCCCUGAAGCCCCAGAGCUCCCCAGCACGACCGAGGAUGCUCCAGCGGCCACAAGCAGGGAGGACAGAGCAGAACGGGGACAGGGAGAUGCGGGUGGCCCCAGCACAACAGCCACAGCAGGUACCGGUGCCCACGGGGCCAGAUGAGAGUGCAGCCACCAGCCGAGGGGGCUGUCACCAAGGCUCCCCUGUCCCACCCUUGCAGAGCCACUCUCAGCCCUGCCAGAUGCCGCCGCUGCCGACCUGCCGGUUGGUGUCCCCAUCGUGGCGAUGGCCACGCCAUGAGCCUGGCCUGACCUCACCCCAGGGGCUUCUCCCCGUUGCUUCCUUUCCUUCGGUUUGA
ensembl:lncRNA